rnacentral:lncRNA from 1 species
GCAGAAAUAAAAAUUAAAUUUUUAUCUUUGUGUGAGUAGAUCUUCAUCGCAAUCUGCUAAUCCAUGGAUAUCUUCAAGGUCCAUUGAAGCCACGAUCCAAUGAAACAUAGAUAUUUGUAAGAUCCGUUAAAGUUGCACAAGUAUCCGACCUCUAUAGAUAUCCACACAAGGCUGAUCUGAUCAGGAGAUUUUGAUCUCACUAGAGUGUUAGCUCUUAUGCAGAG